UACGAAGGGUGCAAGCGUUACUCGGAAUUACUGGGCGUAAAGCGUGCGUAGGUGGUUUGUUAAGUCUGAUGUGAAAGCCCUGGGCUCAACCUGGGAAUUGCAUUGGAUACUGGCAGGCUAGAGUGCGGUAGAGGAUGGCGGAAUUCCCGGUGUAGCAGUGAAAUGCGUAGAGAUCGGGAGGAACAUCUGUGGCGAAGGCGGUCUGCUGGGGUGAUGCUGACACUGAUGCGCGACAGCGUGGGGAGCAAACAGG
rnacentral:rRNA from 1 species